UACGAGGGGGGGCAAGCGUUUGUUCGGAAUUACUGGGCGUAAAGAGCUCGUAGGUGGUUUGUCGCGUUGUCCGUGAAAUUCCCUGGCUUAACUGGGGGCGUGCGGGCGAUACGGGCAGACUGGAGUACUGCAGGGGAGACUGGAAUUCCUGGUGUAGCGGUGGAAUGCGCAGAUAUCAGGGAGGAACACCCAAUGGGCGAAAGGCAGCUCGCUGGGACGGUA
rnacentral:rRNA from 1 species